rnacentral:rRNA from 1 species
GGAAACCUACGGGAGGCAGCAGUGGGGGAUAUUGCACAAUGGGGGAAACCCUGAUGCAGCGACGCCGCGUGAGGGAAGAAGUAUUUCGGUACGUAGAGCUCUAUCAGCAGGGAAGAAUAAUGACGGUACCUGACUAAGAAGCCCCGGCUAACUACGUGCCAGCAGCCGCGGUAAUACGUAGGGGGCAAGCGUUAUCCGGAUUUACUGGGUGUAAAGGGAGCGUAGACGGAUGUG